rnacentral:lncRNA from 1 species
CAAGCUUUUACCAUUGAACCACCACCUAGAUGGUUACAAGUCUUUUAAUGCACCGUGAACAUGCAAUAUCGAAAGAUCCUACAAUCUCAGCGAGGGGUCGCUCUUUUUAGCUUGUAGAAAAGAGAUAAAACCCUCGGUUUUUUAGCUUCAUACUGAUUGAUUAUUACCAUGCAAUUCUCUUCCUUAUUAUGUCGAUGUUGAAUUGUUGUGCGCGCGUUUAGAAUCACUAGAGAGAUGAUAAGAAGGGAUGGAGUCAGGUUGAUAGCGCCGAAAGCUAGGUUGAAGAUUUCAUCAUUACAAGGACAGUAUUCAAUUAAUAGUUAUCACUUAACAGUCACCAGAAUGCUUGAAAUCCAUGGCCCUGACAUGAAAAUUGAACAGCUCUUCCUGUAAGUAAUGUGGCAAAGUCGAAUACCAUC